CUUUGUGCAUUUUCAGAUGUUGUGCAUAUUUAUGAAUCAAAUUUUUUAACGUUGUUUAACUUUUUAACAUUAUAAUAUUGGUUGUCUUCUCUUUUUUCAGAGUUUAGCUCCAACCCCAAUUAAGCAGACCUGAGCAGCUGAUCAAAGAUCACCAGAAACUCUGCAGAACGGUGGUCCUGCAUGCCCAGGACUGGACACCAGUGUUAUGCUGGAGAAAAACUAGCGAAAAAACAUACUGCCAUGGCUCAUUAAUCCCAUUAAUCCAGAAUUGGGAUGGUGGAAGGAGCAGAAGAACCAGAAGAUCAGAGAUCAGGCAGAGAUCUACUGGUGCCCCUGUGGGAACCAAUUUACCUAAUGAGUUAGUUAAACCAAAGAUUUUCAUCACUCACCUUCAUGUUGUUCCAAGUCAGACUUUUGUUCAUCUUUGAAACAUAAAUGCAGAACUUUUUAAUGAAAUCUGAGAAAUUAUUUUUUUUAUUUAUAAAAUAACACAUUCACGAGAGCACCAUGAUGCAUUAGUGUUGAGUUGGCGUGAGAGCUGGCAAUCUCAUGGUACUUUUGUGAAAAUCUGUUGGGGAUACAUCAUUUCUGAAUACAUUUAUUUUAUUUAUUUUUUUGCUGUUGUUGUUUUUUUGUACACAAGGCAUCUGUUAAAAAACCUUAAUUUGUGUUCUGCACAAAAGGGUCUUAUGGGUUUGGAGCAACAUGAGGGUAAGUAAUUAAUGACAGAAUUUACAUUUUUGGUUGUUCUAAUGUGGUUAUAAUUGGUCAUUGUUUCCAUUUUCAAUAUUUUAAAGAUUUAUUGUCUUGAAAAAUUAUGUUUAUACAGAAAGAUUGAUUCAUUGGAUAAGUUACAGUAAAGACUUAAAUUGGUAAAAAAAAAUAUAUAUAUACUGCUCUUUUGCAAGCUCUAUUAAAAAAUACUGAUAAAUGUAAUGGUUUCAACAAAAUAUUAAGCAGCACAACUGUUUUCAACAUUGAUAAUAAUCAAAAAUGUUUCUUGAGCAGCAAAUCAGCAUAUUAGAAUGAUUUUUGAAGAUCAUGUGACACUGAAGCUGGAGUAAUGAUGCUGAAAAUUCAGUUUACAUGGAUAAAUUACAUUUUACAUAGCAUCCACAUAAAAACUAAUUAAUUUCUGUAGU
rnacentral:lncRNA from 1 species